rnacentral:rRNA from 1 species
GUUAAGCUGAUUUCUUCGGAUUGAUUCUUAACUGACUGAGCGGCGGACGGGUGAGUAACGCGUGGGUGACCUGCCCCAUACCGGGGGAUAACAGCUGGAAACGGCUGCUAAUACCGCAUAAGCGCACAGAGCUGCAUGGCUCGGUGUGAAAAACUCCGGUGGUAUGGGAUGGGCCCGCGUCUGAUUAGGCAGUUGGCGGGGUAACGGCCCACCAAACCGACGAUCAGUAGCCGGCCUGAGAGGGCGACCGGCCACAUUGGGACUGAGACACGGCCCAAACUCCUACGGGAGGCAGCAGUGGGGAAUAUUGCACAAUGGGGGAAACCCUGAUGCAGCGACGCCGCGUGAGCGAAGAAGUAUUUCGGUAUGUAAAGCUCUAUCAGCAGGGAAGAUAAUGACGGUACCUGACUAAGAAGCCCCGGCUAACUACGUGCCAGCAGCCGCGGUAAUACGUAGGGGGCAAGCGUUAUCCGGAUUUACUGGGUGUAAAGGGAGCGUAGACGGCACGGCAAGCCAGAUGUGAAAGCCCGGGGCUCAACCCCGGGACUGCAUUUGGAACUGCUGAGCUAGAGUGUCGGAGAGGCAAGUGGAAUUCCUAGUGUAGCGGUGAAAUGCGUAGAUAUUAGGAGGAACACCAGUGGCGAAGGCGGCUUGCUGGACGAUGACUGACGUUGAGGC